AUAUGGUCAAGCGAAUACGGGCUCAUGGUGAAUGCCUCGGAGUCGUACGGCGAAGAAGGCCGUGAUAAGCUGCGAUAAGCCUGGGGGAGGAGCACAUAUCCCGCGAUCCCAGGAUGGCCGAAUGGGGUAACCCAACAGACGAGAGUCUGUUAUUGCAUGCUGAAUCCAUAGGCAUGCAAAGCGAAACCCAGGGAACUGAACCAUCUAAGUACCUGGAGGAAAAGAAAUCAACAGAGAUUCCCCAAGUAGCGGCGAGCGAACGGGGAAGAGCCUAAACUCAAGUCGGUGCCAAGGCGCACGCCGUUGCCGACUGGGGGUUGCAGGUGCCGCGUGGAGCUACGUGCGGGAGCUCGCGAAGUGACAAAGGUUCUCGGUAGGGGAACGGCAUGGGAAGGCCGGCCAGAGGGGGUGAGAGCCCCGUACCCGACACUGAGGAUCCUUCGUGAUGCGGCUACCUAAGUACGGCGAGGCCAGAGAAACCUUGUCGGAAGCCGGGUCUACCACGAUCCAAGGCUAAACACGUGACGACUACCGAUAGCGCAGAAGUACCGCGAGGGAAAGGCGAAAAGAACCCCGGCGAGGGGAGUGAAAGAGAACCUGAAACCAUGAGCCCACAACAGGUCGGAGGGAUCGCAAGAUCCUGACGGCGUGCCUUUUGUAGAAUGAGCCUGCGAGUUACGGUUGCAAGCGAGGUUAAGGGAUGGGAGUCCCGGAGCCGUAGGGAAACCGAGUCUGAUAAGGGCGUUCGCCACGCAAGUGGCGAGGAGUUUGCAGUCGUAGACCCGAAGCCAGGUGAUCUUAUUACGGUCAGGUUGAAGCUUGAGUAAAAUCAAGUGGAGGACCGAACUCUAGUGUGUUAAAAAACGCAGGGAUGAACCGUGAUAAGGGGUGAAAGGCUAAUCAAACCUGGAAAUAGCUGGCACUCCCCGAAAUGCCUUGAGGGACAGCCUCAUACAAACGUUCAGGAGGUAGAGCACUGUUUGGACUAGGGCUCUUCACCGGGUACCAAACCCAGGCAAACUCCGAAUGCCUGAACGCAACGUAUGGGAGUGAGACAGUGUGCGACAAAGUUCAUUGUCGAGAGGGAAACAGCCCAGACCGACAGCUAAGGUCCCCAAAUGCCGCUGAGUGUUAAAUGAUGUGCGAUUGCCCAGACAGCCAGGAGGUUGGCUUAGAAGCAGCCAUUCCUUCAAAGAGUGCGUAAUAGCUCACUGGUCGAGCAAUGGUGCGCAGACAAUGUAACGGGGCUAAGCGGCAUACCGAAGCUUCGGAAUCAUCGCGCAAGCGGUGGUUGGUAGGGGAGCAUUCCAUGGACCGGUGAAGGUCGCCCGGAAGGGCGGCUGGAGGGGAUGGAAGAGAGAAUGCAGGUAUAAGUAUACGAAAAGACGGGUGAGAUCCCCGUCCGCCGAAAACCUAAGGUUUCCUGGGUAAAGGUCAUCUGCCCAGGGUUAGUCGGCCCCUAAGAUGAGGCGGAAACGCGUAGUCGAUGGGAAGCUGGUUCAUAUUCCAGCACCAUGCACGGAUUCGAUGGGAUGACGCAUGAGGCGAAACCCGGCCGGAGAACGGUUGUUCCGGUCGAAACGACGAGCUGUUGAAGGGGCCAGGGAAAUCCGGUCCUCGAGGUGAGUCGCGACAGCGAGUGGAGCUACGGCGAAGCGAAGCGGGCGUAGUCAUGGUGCCAAGAAAGAAUCUCUAAGGUAUGUCCGUGCAUGACCGUACCGUAAACCGCCACAGGUAGGUGGGAUGAGAAAUCUAAGGCGCUCGAGAUAACUAGCGUUAAGGAACUCGGCAAAUUGCACACGUAACUUCGGGAGAAGUGUGGCCUUCCCUUGUUUAGCAAUAAGUUAGGGGAGGUUGCAGAGAGCAGGCCCAGGCGACUGUUUACCAAAAACACAGGUCUCUGCGAACGCGCAAGCGGACGUAUAGGGACUGACGCCUGCCCGGUGCCGGAAGGUUAAGAGGAGGAGUCAGCCGCAAGGCGAAGCCCUGAAUCGAAGCCCCGGUAAACGGCGGCCGUAACUAUAACGGUCCUAAGGUAGCGAAAUUCCUUGUCGGGUAAGUUCCGACCCGCACGAAUGGUGGAACGAUCUGGGCACUGUCUCGACGCUAGACUCGGUGAAAUUUAAGUACCGGUAAAGAUGCCGGUUACCCGUGGUUAGACGGAAAGACCCCGUGAACCUUCACUGCAACUUACCAUUGGGACUUGGCCUGACAUGUGUAGGAUAGGUGGGAGACUAUGAGGCAUGGCCGCCAGGCUGUGCGGAGUCGUCGGUGAAAUACCACUCUUGUCAGGCUAGGUUUCUAACCUGGUCCGUCAAUCCGGAUCGGGGACAGUAGUAGGCGGGCAGUUUGACUGGGGCGGUCGCCUCCUAAACGGUAACGGAGGUGCGCGAAGGUCGCCUUGCUCUGGUUGGAAAUCAGAGCGCAAGUGUAAAGGCAUAAGGCGGCUUGACUGCGAGUCCGACAGGACGAGCAGGUACGAAAGUAGGUCUUAGUGAUCUGGCGGUGGCAUGUGGAAGCGCCGUCACUUAACGGAUAAAAGGUACUCUGGGGAUAACAGGCUGAUUUUGCCCAAGAGUUCACAUCGACGGCAAAGUUUGGCACCUCGAUGUCGGCUCAUCGCAUCCUGGGGCUGGAGCAGGUCCCAAGGGUUUGGCUGUUCGCCAAUUAAAGCGGUACGUGAGCUGGGUUCAGAACGUCGUGAGACAGUUCGGUCCCUAUCUGCCACGGGCGUUGGAUGGUUGAGAGAAGCUGCCUUUAGUACGAGAGGACCGAGGUGGACGAACCUCUGGUGUACCAGUUAUCCUGCCAAGGGUACGUGCUGGGUAGCCAUGUUCGGAAGGGAUAACCGCUGAAAGCAUCUAAGUGGGAAGCCCAUCUCAAGAUGAACCAUCCCUGGGGGUUUAACCCCCCUGAAGGUACCAGGGAGACUACCUGGUUGAUAGGCUGGAGAUGUACGUACAGUAAUGUACUCAGUCGACCAGUACUAAUCUACCGUGAGGCUUGACCAUAU
rnacentral:rRNA from 1 species